UCUGCGGCCCAUCAGCUAGUUGGUGAGGUAACGGCUCACCAAGGCUACGACGGGUAGCUGGUCUGAGAGGAUGAUCAGCCACACUGGAACUGAGACACGGUCCAGACUCCUACGGGAGGCAGCAGUGGGGAAUCUUGCGCAAUGGGCGAAAGCCUGACGCAGCGACGCCGCGUGGGUGACGAAGGCCUUCGGGUUGUAAAGCCCUGUGGGGAGGAACGAACCGUCCGGGGGCCAAUACCCCUCCGGGCCUGACGGUACCUCUUUAGCAAGCAUCGGCUAACUCUGUGCCAGCAGCCGCGGUAAGACAGAGGAUGCGAACGUUGCUCGGAAUUACUGGGCGUAAAGCGCGCGUAGGUGGCCUUGUAAGUCUCGUGUGAAAGCCCUCUGCUCAACGGAGGAAGUGCACGGGAUACUGCGAGGCUGGAGUACAGAAGAGGACAGCGGAAUUCCCGGUGUAGAGGUGAAAUUCGUAGAUAUCGGGAGGAACACCAGUGGCGAAGGC
rnacentral:rRNA from 1 species